rnacentral:rRNA from 1 species
CCUACGGGAGGCUGCAGUGAGGAAUAUUGGUCAAUGGGCGCGAGCCUGAACCAGCCAAGUAGCGUGAAGGAUGAAUGCCCUACGGGUUGUAAACUUCUUUUACAAAGGAAUAACGCGAGGCACGUGUGGCUUUUUGCAUGUACCUUAUGAAUAAGGAUCGGCUAACUCCGUGCCAGCAGCCGCGGUAAUACGGAGGAUCCGAGCGUUAUCCGGAUUUAUUGGGUUUAAAGGGAGCGUAGGUGGGUUGUUAAGUCAGUUGUGAAAGUUUGCGGCUCAACCGUAAAAUUGCAAUUGAUACUGGCAGCCUUGAGUUCAGUUGAGGUAGGCGGAAUUCGUGGUGUAGCGGUGAAAUGCUUAGAUAUCACGAAGAACUCUGAUUGCGAAGGCAGCUUACUAAACUGCCACUGACAUUGAUGCUCGAAAGUGUGGGUAUCAAACAGGAUUAGAUACCCGAGUAGUC